CUCAUUUUAACUCGGCCAAAUACAUAGUAACAUACAUAAGAAGAUUUUACUUAUAUUUACCGAACUAUUUGACACGGUCGCGUCAACUGUGUUUACGAGUGUCUUGUGUUCAGAUUGUUUUAAGUGAUAAUUUAACAAUAUUUUUCCAAAUAAAUGGAAAGAAACUUUUAUUUAUAUCAAAUAAUUGAGUGUCUCGACUGUGUGACAUUAUGUCUUGUGUGGUAUGGGGCUGCAGCUCACAUUCAGGAAGAAAAGAAAAUAGCCAACAACUUCUGUCGUUUCAUCGAUAUUAAAUCCAAAAGUGUCGACUGGAUUUACAUGAAAAGUCAGUUCAAGAAGACGAGAUGAAAAAUUUAAAAGAAAAGCUGAACAAUUCCCGCCUCAAGAUCAAACGACUUAAUGAAAAAAAAAAACAAUGUGACAGGGUGUCACAAAGACAGUUUCUAAGCAAAUUGACACUGUUUAGAAAUUAAUAAAUUUGUAUUUAUUGUAAAUAUAAUGUACAUAAUUAAUAACGUGUGAAAUAAAUACUUGCUAAUGAACAGAUUUACGAUCUAAUUUAUAUUUCAUUUUACCUCCUGUUCUUAUUUACUCCUACUCCAACACUCCAGGUUGAUACGAACUGCGCCCAAUAAAGAAUGUAAUGAAUGUUAUAGAUUUGUGUAAGCGACUUAGAUAAAUCUUGACUAAACCUUCCUUUACAAAUACAAAUAUACUUUAUUGCACACAACAUACAAUACUUACAAGUUUUACACGAAAGAUACAGUACACCACCUACCUACCUUUUACUUUCCCUUUCUGUUCUCUUAUGAAUACUUGUAUGCCGUAUUUUUUUAAGUAUAAUGCAAUA